AAAAGAUAAGAAGAGAAUUGGGUAAGAGAGAAUGAAAGGGUUAUCAGAAAGAAAGAAAAGAAGAAAGGGUAGAGUAGAGAAGAGGAAAGGAAAAGAAAGAAGAAGAGAGAAAGAAGGAAGAGAAAGAGGAAGGAAGAAGAUGGGAAUGAAAGGGUUAUCAGAAAGAAAGAAAAGAAGAAAGGGUAGAGUAGAGAAGAGGAAAGGAAAAGAAAGAAGAAGAGAGAAAGAAGGAAGAGAAAGAGGAAGGAAGAAGAUGGGAAAUCAUGUU
rnacentral:lncRNA from 1 species